AAAAUGUGUCAGGUUGCCACCACCUUCCUCCCUGGGCCAGAAUUUUCUGCUCUUACGAUGCUGAUGAUUGUCUAAGAUUGCACCAUCCACCCUGGAGGUUGCUGACUCCCAUUUGAUUGCUGGCCUGCCACUCAUCCUGUGCUGUUUUCUUGGAGCCUGACCUCCUCAGUGAUUGCUGCUGGAGAGACUGAAUGGUGCAACCUGGAAGUGCGGUGUAGCUGAUGCUCUGUGGUGGAAACUGACCAGAUGGAGAGAGGAGUCUGCAGAGAAGUCUUCUCUUUCUUCCUCACCCCAUAGUAAGGUAAGAUGCAGUACUUUAGUUCACAUGGCUUGUGCCCUGAAAAUGAUCAGUGAGACUAAGCAAACAGCUGUGCCUUUAGAAGCUACAGACAGCUCAAUAACACCUACUCAUAUUUGCUUUCUCUCCUCUGCUUCACUUCUCAUUUACCUUCAGUCAUGCUUUUCUUGAAUUGCAUCACCCUAAUAUUGUCUUAGUAAUAAGGUUUUGUCUUAGGCCCUAUUUUCUCAGGAAUCCAGACUAAGACAGGUUUCAUAGUGGAGAUGUUUAUUAGGCAAAGGGAUACAUGAGUCUGAAGUUCAGAGAAGAGGUCUCUGGGCUGGGGAUAUAGAUUUUGGAUUUGUAGAUAGUAUUUAACAAGAUAAGACCAUGAAAUCAACUAGGAAGUGGAUAUAGCUAGAAAAGAAAAGAGAGCUGAACACUGAGCCCUCAGGCAC
rnacentral:lncRNA from 1 species